rnacentral:rRNA from 1 species
GGAGGAAAAGAAACCAACAGGGAUUCCCUUAGUAAGUGCGACUGAAACGGGAUGAGCCCAGCGCAUAACCUUGUGCCGUCAGUCGGUGGUUUGCCCCACUGUCUUGGCGGGUGUGCAAGGGGUGUUGCGUUCCGGAGGGUCCGUAACCCGCACGCUCCUUGCUGCCUAAGUCUUGCUUGAACGCAGCCCGCAUACCCAUGGAGGGUGCUAGGCCCGUGUGGCAGUUGAACACGAGUAAUUCCAGGGCGAACCGGGAGUGGAACCCCCACGAACCAAGUACCUCGGGGGUGAAAGAGGAGCGGCGGAAGGGACCUCUCUGUAGAGUCGGGUUGCUUGGCAGUGCAGCCCAAAGAAGGUGG